ACGCACUACUAAACUUUUCUAGUUCUCUCAUUUCUUUAAGUUUGAUAUUGAUAUUUUGUCUUUAUUUUAUAACAAAAUAAUACUACUUUGUCUGAUAAAAUAAUACUACUUUGUCUGAUCAACAGACGGGCGACAUACUUAUCUUGUGUGACAAUACUACAGAGCGAGUUACUCUUUUAGCCGGACAGUUGUGUAACAACACUAUUAACAACACAUAUUAACCCUCUUAUAAAUAAUUCCUACCCAAUAAUUGCUUCAUAACAAAACUUAUAUGUCAUUGUUACCCCCGGGCCAUAAGCAAGUAAUCAACUUAUUAGGUGAUGAGUCAAGAAAACAAUUAUUGAGGCCAAUUAUUGCAAAUAAGUGAACUAUAUAGAGUGGGACUAAUUAAAGACACUUUGAAAAUGAAAAAUAUAUAGUGAGUUUAAUUGCUUUUGGCAUGAGCAUGAAGAAGAAGAUGAUAAUAAAUCAAUGAACUCAAUUGCCUCUCUUCUACAAGUAUAAAUACUCUUCAAUAAGGUACACCCUCAUUCAUCUAUUCAACCAAAAAGUUAUCCAAACAAAAAGUCAACAAAAUUCUCUCCAAAAAUUUUCCAAGAUGAUUACUAUUGCAACAGAACAAAAAGUAAUAGUAAAAGUUGAAUCUCCAACUUCUGAAUUUCUAGUUGAAGUUAAAGGAAGUGAUAAAGUUGAAGAGUUAAUCAAGAUUGUGAAAAAAGCAUGGGGAAGUGAUCAUAUGUUAUUAAGGCAUAAUUCUGUUGAUAUGAAAGUUGAUGAGAAUUUGUCUACCUAUGAUGUUAAAGAUGGUUCUAUUAUCAAAGUCAAAGUCUUUGCUGAAGCUCCUUGAAAAUAAUAAUAAUUAUAAUUUGUAAGUGAUAUGUAUAAUUUAUUUUAAUUUGUGGGAUGUGAAUAAUUAAUGUUGUUAUGAGAUGAUUUGAGAAAUUAUUGUGAUAUUUACAAGUA